AUAUGCUAUUUAUUUUGUAGUUUGUGGUACAAAGUCGAAUCUGAGUGGUAAGCACUGGCCUUUCCAAGAUUUAAGAAUCAUGGAAAAAUAGGCGAAAUAUGGCCGCUGUUUUCCUUUUUAUCCAAGCAUUAACCUACAAUGCGGCAUGGCUAUUAUAAAUGGUCAAAGUAUAUUGUAUAUAUUGUUACAUGUAUCAUUAAUACAUUUGGAACAAUUUCUUAGCACAUAUUGUUUUCUUGUACAAUUUCAAGCAUUCCUUUCGGAAAGUCUUGUCAAUGAGACAAAAGACAAUAGGAUUAGAUGCAUUGUUGAUGAAAUACGCACGUAGAAGGAUCGCAGUUGCUGGUCGGAUACUAUUUUCGUACAAUCUAGGAUUCGUUAUUUUACCAAAAUUGUGAACACAUAAAUUAAAUAUCCUGCGUACGAAACUGCAGUUGC
rnacentral:lncRNA from 1 species